ACACUUUGUCAUACCCUUUGGCGUCUGUAUGAGACGCACCGGGCUUUCAACUAACUCCAAUGUAAACCCAUCUGUGUCAUUAUUAGACGCCAUGAGACUGAUGACUGAUGACGUCUGUACAAGUUGAACACAGCUUUGGGUGGAGACUACACGGACCUCAAAUGAAGGCGGACAGCACCUCCUUCCUGUUAAAAAGACGGACAGUGCGUCCGUCCAAUCAGCGAUGAUCCUUGUCAGUGGGAGAGCGUCCAAUCAGCAACAAGCUUUGUCGAUAGCAGGUACCUACCUUUUCCGGUAGAAGUUAGUGUUGCUGUGUUGUCAACUUCUACGGGGCCACCGUACAUCUGUCUCUGUUGAGGAACCAUGAAGACUCUGGCGACUUUCAUCCUUCUGACUCUGAUCUGCUUCCUGCAUCACAGCUCUGCAUCUGCCAACGGUGCAGUGUUGGCGACUACAGACGGAUGCUGUAUGAACCACACUCGGAUGAUAAUUCCUAAGCAGAAGGUGAGACAUGUGGCGGAGAACCCAAGUCACUGCGAAACCAAAGCGAUUAUAGUCACGUCUGUGUGUGAUAAGCUGUAUUGUAUUGAUCCUGAUUCCCGAUGGGCAAAGAACCUGUUGGCAGAAUUUGAGAAGUUCCCUGAUAAGACGUCUCCACCUGCUCCUUUCAAUCGCUCCAAGUGUAGAAAAUAUAGAAAAAAAUAGUGAUGUGGUGUGAGAAUGCUGUUCCUUUGUGUACUGCAAUGACGUGUAAAUUAUCUAUUCUACUGGUUGUUGUAAUUGAUAAUCAAUGAUAAUUACUUGAAAUACUUUCUAGAAUAUUAAACACACCAGCCAAAGUUUUGUCUAAGAUUAGAAAAUAACAAGUGGUACUACGGUUUAUUACUGACUUUUUUAAAUGUAUGUUUAUUAAUACUACACGAGCUAAUGUCUCUUUCUGUGAUGAAUGUUUUGAGUGUGUGAACAUCAGAGUUGAAAAUUUAAAAUUAAGAAUAAAAUCCAUGAACCUUGAUGUUUAACUCCCUGCUGCCAUUUAGUAUUAUAUGUUUCAAACUGCAUUUGACAAAUGAGUAUCAUGUGAUGUAUCAAUAGAUGACAUCUGAUGACAGUAAACACUAUUUUGUUCAGAAAAUGUCACGUUGUUGUUCAUGAUUUAGACUCUGCUGGUUAAAUGAUGUUACUUGGAGUUGAACAUCUGGUUCCUUGAUUGUCAUUUUAGACCUUUUAUCAGGUUAUGAUGGACACACAAAUCAAUCAUGUCAUUUCCUCCACUUGAACAUAUGAAGGAGAGUCGUCGAUGUUUCAGGCAGUUUGUGUUACAGUCUCCUCCGUGAGGACAGCAGGUUGGAGGGAAAAAAUCGAUUACUGGACUUUUCAGUGUUUCCAUUGUUUCUGGUUUGAGUGGAAGUAAGCGUGCCAACAACA